rnacentral:sRNA from 1 species
AAUACCCGGAUGGAAGUGUAAUGGCCGCCAUCAGGGACUCGCAGGCAAUGGGGGACUACGACAGAUAUCAUCUCUUCUUUUGAUCACUGUUCCUGAUUGUGACAUUGUGCAAGUGUUAAAUUGUGUGCCUUUUGUUCCUGAAGAAAGAGGUCCUGGGAUCUUUGAAAUGCUAAGAUUCUUGGAUACCACAGUAUCAUAAAAUUCCUCUAAAUGCAGUGCUGGUGACAUUCUUUACCACGUGUAUGAAAAGCGCAUCUGUGUAGUGGGAGAAAGUGAAGCCAUAAGGAGAUGGGAGAUGGAUGGUGGUAGUGCCAGUUUCAAUCUCAGGGAACAUGUUGGUGCUAGCAAUCCCCUACUCUGUCUGGCCUCUGGAUCUAGCUUGGAGUUCUGGAUUCAUUUCCUUCUUCCUUGUACCUCAGCCUGAGCCUUCUGUCACCCAAAGGGCUCCAGCUGGUUUUUCACUCAGGCCUCACUUUAUCUUCCAAG